CAGGAGUAAGUGAGAAGAGUGAGAUAAGAUUGUGCUUCUUUAUGCAGAUGAUGUAGUGGUCAUGAGUGAAUCAGCUGAGGCAGAGUUGCAAACUUUGUUGGAUGUUCUAGACAGGAGUUGUUGAUCCAAAAACCUGACUCUUGGAGCGAUCCUGAGCAGCCUGUAACAUCAAGAUAAGAAAUGGCAUGGGAUUAUCUGCAGAAUAAGCACAAUCAAGCUAGCUUUGGACAUUGAUGCCUUGCUUGUCUGGUUGAGAAUUGGUAUUCCCAGUUGUCAUGUCUGUAAAGAUGAAGAAAGUAUGGAGUACAAGAGGUUGAGAAGAAAUAUUGAGUAAGAUGAAGU